GUGCUCUGUUUUGCAGCACAUGUACUAAAACUGAAACAACACUAACAUGAAUAACAGGGUCCCUGCCAAAGGAUGGAACAAAAUGGUGAAGUGCUCCAUAUGAAA
rnacentral:snRNA from 1 species